rnacentral:rRNA from 1 species
UACGUAGGGUGCGAGCGUUAAUCGGAAUUACUGGGCGUAAAGCGUGCGCAGGCGGUUUUGCAAGCCGGAUGUGAAAUCCCCAGGCUUAACCUGGGAACUGCAUUCGAGACUGCAUUGCUAGAGUAUGGGAGAGGGAAGUGGAAUUUCCGGUGUAGCGGUGAAAUGCGUAGAUAAUCGGAAGGAACACCAAUGGCGAAGGCAGCUCACUGGGACGGUACUGACGCUGAGACGCGAAAGCGUGGGGAGCAAACAGG